ACCCAUAUGGACUAGCAGUUAGGAUUCCUAGUUUUUACCCAGGCAGCCCAGGUUCGACUCCUGGUAUGAGAA